UACGUAGGGGGCAAGCGUUGUCCGGAAUCAUUGGGCGUAAAGGGCGCGUAGGCGGCCUUGUCAGUCAGGCGUGAAAGCCCCGGGCUCAACCUGGGAACGGCGCUUGGGACGGCGAGGCUGGAGUUCGGGAGAGGAGAGUGGAAUUCCCAGUGUAGAGGUGAAAUUCGUAGAUAUUGGGAAGAACACCGGUGGCGAAGGCGGCUCUCUGGACCGACACUGACGCUGAGGCGCGAAAGCGUGGGGAGCAAACAGG
rnacentral:rRNA from 1 species